AGACCGUAUGCUUAGAGUACAGGGCAAGGGUCUGGGUGUGUCAGUAAGCAGGAAUCAGAGACUUGCUUUUUUAGAAUCGUGCCUAAAAUGAAAAGGAACACACGCAGAGUCCUCCUAUGCAGGGUCUCCAUGGUAUACUAUAGGGACAAUGGGGUAUCUGCAUCUUCAUUGAUUGCAGUGUUUGUUAUAUUUCCAGAUACUUUAAGAAUCCUGAUUAUUACUGUUUUGUGAAGAAAGCUUUUUUUUUCUUUAGUAAGCACCUGCCCUCCCCCAGACAAUGUGACUCUUACGCAAAGGCAUAGUGUUCAUUAUCUGGGGGAGGAAAAAGAAUAAAUCAGUGCUUCUACAUUCAGCUAAAUUACCCUUAAAAGACCUCGCCACUCAGUUGGCUUCCCCAGCUGAGUCAUGGCUUCCUGAGCAGCCAGGGGGCCUAAGGAAGACUCUGUGGGUGGCUCUGAAUGGGGCAAUAACACAGUGCUAAUCCCACCAACUUGGACAUGAGCUUUUUAAAAAGAACAA
rnacentral:lncRNA from 1 species